rnacentral:misc_RNA from 1 species
UUAUCUUGCAUGUAUGUACAUAACAGUUUUUGUAUUGGACACUCAUAAAAUGAGAAUAUAUGUAUUCUAUAAUAAAUCAUGUUUACUUUUGAUUUUAAUUGUAGGCCCAUUAUCAUAAUCAUGUUUCAUUCAUAUAUUUGUGAAUAAUUGCAAAAACUGUGUUCACCUUUAUGGGUUUUUUUUUUAUAUUUUUGUCUCAGCAAUUUUUGAACAUCAUCAUAAUAAACAUUCUGCAUCAAUCGACUGCAAAUAUGUUUGUAUAUGUCAAAUAACAUUUUGAAUGACAUUUGAAUUUAUAUUUACAAGUAAUUCGAAUCAAAUGGCUGACACAGAAACCAACAUAUGGAUAUAAUAAUUUGCUUUAAAGUAAUUAUAGAAAAAAUAACUUUAUUUUAGAGUCAGAACUUGCAGGCACGGGGAUGUUCCAAAAUGUUUAGAUGCACAUGUAUAUUGUGGGCUUUCAUAAUAUUGAGAAGAUCAUUGUACAAUAUCAUCUUACUGUACUUUGUGCCAUUUAAGAAUUAAAAAAAACCAUUUUUAAAGGGUUUACAUUUGCUAUGCAUCCC